UAAACAGAAGCCAAUUUCGGGGCGCCUAGCUGUUAAUUAGGAAGUUGUGAUUGAAGAUCACCUGUUUAG
rnacentral:tRNA from 1 species